rnacentral:rRNA from 1 species
UACGUAGGUGGCAAGCGUUGUCCGGAUUUAUUGGGUUUAAAGGGUGCGUAGGCGGUUCUGUAAGUCAGUGGUGAAAUACUCUAGCUUAACUAGAGGGGUGCCAAUGAUACUGCAGAACUUGAGUACAGAUGAGGUAGGCGGAAUUGACGGUGUAGCGGUGAAAUGCAUAGAUAUCGUCAAGAACACCGAUAGCGAAGGCAGCUUACUGGGCUGUAACUGACGCUGAUGCACGAAAGUGUAGGGAUCAAACAGG